rnacentral:sRNA from 1 species
CUCAAAAUCUCCAAUGAACACUCACCCAAACUCCAGAUCCGGAGUCAUAGUUACUUGAGGGCAGUGAGUGAAGUCUCCAUCAACCGGAGCCUGGACAGCCUCGACCCUGCAGGCUUGCUCACAUCACCAAAGUUCCGCUCCAGGAAUGAGAGCUACAUGCGAGCCAUGAGCACCAUCAGCCAGGUGAGCGAGAUGGAAGUGAACGGGCAGUUCGAGUCCGUGUGCGAGUCCGUGUUCAGCGAGCUGGAGUCGCAGGCCGUGGAAGCGCUGGACCUGCCCAUGCCCGGCUGCUUCCGCAUGCGGAGCCACAGCUAUGUGCGGGCCAUUGAGAAAGGCUGCUCCCAGGACGACGAGUGCGUGUCCCUGAGGUCGUCCUCGCCGCCGCGCACGACCACCACCGUUAGGACCAUCCAGAGCAGCACGGGUCCCAACCAUAAUAGAGAUGACAGAUGGAGAUGUCCAGCCAGGCUGUCCUGUCACCCUACUGGCCUGUCACCAUUUUGCCAACCAUUAGAGAGAGGAGGGCCACAUAGAUUCUACAACCUCAACCAAGACCCCUGGUGAAGAAUGGCCAUGCUAUUCUCUUGAGAAAUGGUUCACAUUUCAUGCUAUUCUUGUGGGAAAUAGCUCCCAUGGCUGGGCAUGGUGGCUCAUGUCCGUAAUCCCAACAUUUUGGGAGGCUGAAGUGGGAAGACCAUUUGAGUCCAGGAGUGCAAGACCAGCCUGAACAACAUAGCAAGAACCCAUCUCUAUUAAAAAAAAAAAAAGAAAG